rnacentral:rRNA from 1 species
AGUGAACGCUGGCGGUAGGCCUAACACAUGCAAGUCGAACGGCAGCACAGUAAGAGCUUGCUCUUACGGGUGGCGAGUGGCGGACGGGUGAGGAAUACAUCGGAAUCUACUUUUUCGUGGGGGAUAACGUAGGGAAACUUACGCUAAUACCGCAUACGACCUACGGGUGAAAGCAGGGGAUCUUCGGACCUUGCGCGAUUGAAUGAGCCGAUGUCGGAUUAGCUAGUUGGCGGGGUAAAGGCCCACCAAGGCGACGAUCCGUAGCUGGUCUGAGAGGAUGAUCAGCCACACUGGACCUGAGACACGGUCCAGACGCCUACGGGAGGCAGCAGUGGGGAAUAUUGGACAAUGGGCGCAAGCCUGAUCCAGCCAUACCGCGUGGGUGAAGAAGGCCUUCGGGUUGUAAAGCCCUUUUGUUGGGAAAGAAAAGCAGCAGGUUAAUACCCCGCUGUUCUGACGGUACCCAAAGAAUAAGCACCGGCUAACUUCGU